rnacentral:rRNA from 1 species
AUAUUGUACAAUGGUGGAAACCCUGAUCCAGCCAUGCCGCGUGUAUGAUGAAGACCUUCGGGUUGUAGAGUAGUUUUGGCCGAGAAGAAGAGGAAUCUGCUAAUACGAGAUACUGCUGACGGUAUCUGCAGAAUAAGCACCGGCUAACUACGUGCCAGCAGCCGCGGUAAUACGUAGGGUGCAAGCGUUAAUCGGAAUUACUGGGCUUAAAGCGUGUGUAAGCGGAUCAGAAAGAAAGAUGUGAAAUUCCAGGGCUAAACCAUGGAACUGCCUUUUUAACUGCCGAGCUUGAGUAUAUCAGAGGGAGUUAGAAUUCCACGUGUAGCAGUGAAAUGCGUAGAUAUGUGGAAGAAUACCGAUAGCGAAGGCAGACCCCUGGGAUAAAACUGACGCUCAGACACGAAAGCGUGGGGAGCAAACA